UAUAGUAGGAUAAUAGAAAUGACAAAAAGUGCAAGAUGUUAAAAAAUCCUUACAAAAAUAACUUACAGACUCAGAAGAAGCUGUUAAUUAUUAUGAACCUGAAAAAGUUGGCAUUAAAGAGUAUGGAUACUUACCAUGAGAAAGUUAGGAGAAACUUUAUGUCUUGAUUACUGGCUACACGAAUAUGUUUGUUUUGAAUUUAUGGAUUAGGAACAAAUUUGCCAUGAGACGAAUAUUGGUUGAUUGAGUCUCUAUCAGAUUUCACAAAUACUAUUUAUUAAUACCAAGAAGGAGAAAAUGGAAACAUUAUAACAUCUAUUUAAUAUGCUAGAUGUCUAAAUUGGAUGGAAAUUUUAUGAAAUUAGAUGAAGCGAUUAAUACGUUUAGUACUGUUGCUAUGAGAUUUUCCAUUUCAGUGAAACGUAAAA